AGUGAUGAAGGUUUUCGGAUCGUAAAGCUCUGUUGUUAGGGAAGAACAAGUGCGAGAGUAACUGCUCGCACCUUGACGGUACCUAACCAGAAAGCCACGGCUAACUACGUGCCAGCAGCCGCGGUAAUACGUAGGUGGCAAGCGUUGUCCGGAAUUAUUGGGCGUAAAGGGCUCGCAGGCGGUUUCUUAAGUCUGAUGUGAAAGCCCCCGGCUCAACCGGGGAGGGUCAUUGGAAACUGGGAAACUUGAGUGCAGAAGAGGAGAGUGGAAUUCCACGUGUAGCGGUGAAAUGCGUAGAGAUGUGGAGGAACACCAGUGGCGAAGGCGACUCUCUGGUCUGUAACUGACGCUGAGGAGCGAAAGCGUGGGGAGCGAACAGGAUUAGAUACCCUGGUAGUCCACGCCGUAAACGAUGAGUGCUAAGUGUUAGGGGGUUUCCGCCCCUUAGUGCUGCAGCUAACGCAUUAAGCACUCCGCCUGGGGAGUACGGUCGCAAGACUGAAACUCAAAGGAAUUGACGGGGGCCCGCACAAGCGGUGGAGCAUGUGGUUUAAUUCGAAGCAACGCGAAGAACCUUACCAGGUCUUGACAUCCUCUGACAACCCUAGAGAUAGGGCUUUCCCUUCGGGGACAGAGUGACAGGUGGUGCAUGGUUGUCGUCAGCUCGUGUCGUGAGAUGUUGGGUUAAGUCCCGCAACGAGCGCAACCCUUGAUCUUAGUUGCCAGCAUUCAGUUGGGCACUCUAAGGUGACUGCCGGUGACAAACCGGA
rnacentral:rRNA from 1 species